AACCUGGACCCUCAGACACAAAAGUUCAGUCCAGACAGAGAGCAGAGUCUCCAGUACCCAGCUGUCUGUCUAUGAAGAGUGACCUGGUCCAUGUGGAAUCCUCCAUACUUCAGUAAUGAACCUGGACCCUCAUACACAAAAGUUCAGUACGGACAGAGAGCAGAGUCUCCAGUACCCAGCUGUCUGUCUAUGAAGAG